GUUUACGACCAUACCACGUUGAAAGCACGUCAUCCCGUCUGAUCUGUCAAGUUAAGCAACGUUGGGCUCGGUUAGUACUCGGGUCGGAGACGGAUUGGGAAUCACUGGUGUCCUAAACC
rnacentral:rRNA from 1 species